rnacentral:rRNA from 1 species
CCUACGGGAGGCAGCAGUGGGGAAUAUUGCACAAUGGGCGCAAGCCUGAUGCAGCGACGCCGCGUGAGGGAUGACGGCCUUCGGGUUGUAAACCUCUUUCAGCAGGGACGAAGCGCAAGUGACGGUACCUGCAGAAGAAGCACCGGCCAACUACGUGCCAGCAGCCGCGGUAAUACGUAGGGUGCAAGCGUUGUCCGGAAUUACUGGGCGUAAAGAGCUCGUAGGCGGUUUGUCGCGUCGUCUGUGAAAACCAGCAGCUCAACUGUUGGCUUGCAGGCGAUACGGGCAGACUUGAGUAUUUCAGGGGAGACUGGAAUUCCUGGUGUAGCGGUGAAAUGCGCAGAUAUCAGGAGGAACACCGGUGGCGAAGGCGGGUCUCUGGGAAAUAACUGACGCUGAGGAGCGAAAGCGUGGGUAGCGAACAGGAUUAGAUACCCUGGUAGUCCACGCCGUAAACGGUGGGCGCUAGGUGUGGGUUUCCUUCCACGGGAUCCGUGCCGUAGCUACGCAUAGCCGCCCCGCGCGGAGGUACGGCCGCGACGACGUAACGUACGAAGAAGUAGACGGCGUGAGACGUGCCGACGGACGACGACGAGGGAGGAGG